CUUGUUGCGGGCAAAUAAAGUGAAUAUGUGAGUCAACCGCCCCAGCCGUAACGAUUUGGCCUUCGCCUGCAAUCACCUCCGUACCGGGUCCGACGACAAUAGUGACGCCAUCUUGAGUAUCUGGGUUGCCUGCUUUACCGAUCGCUGCAAUUUUGCCUUCAUUGAUUCCAAUAUCUGCUUUAACGAUUCCCCAAUGGUCCAAAAUUAACGCAUUAGUGAUAACGGUAUCGACCACGUCUGCGUCUAAGGACUGGCUUUGCCCCAUACCAUCACG
rnacentral:sRNA from 1 species